GGAAGGAUCAUUACCGAACCGUCGACACGAGUUGUCGCUGGUCCUCGAAAGGGGGCAUGUGCACGCUCUGUUUGCACAUCCACUCACACCUGUGCACCCUCCGUAGUUCUGUGGUCUUGGGGGCUACGUCCUCUCGCCGUGGUCCUGCGUCUUUACACACACAACCGUAACAAAGUCACAUGGAAUGUAUGCCGCGUUCGACGCGAUACAAUACAACUUUCAGCAACGGAUCUCUUGGCUCUCGCAUCGAUGAAGAACGCAGCGAAAUGCGAUAAGUAAUGUGAAUUGCAGAAUUCAGUGAAUCAUCGAAUCUUUGAACGCACCUUGCGCCCUUUGGCUAUUCCGAAGGGCAUGCCUGUUUGAGUAUCAUGAACACCUCAACUCUCAUGGCCUGCCAUGAUGAGCUUGGACUUUGGGGGUCUUGCCGGCCUGACGGUCGGCUCCUCUCAAAAGCAUCAGCUUGCCAGUGUUUGGUGGCGUUCACGGGUGUGAUAACUAUCUACGCUCGUGGUCUUCCGCCAGGUAACCUUCAGCGAUGGGGGUUCGCUGGGGCUCACAGAUGUCUCUCCUCGGGAAAGACGGCUUUUUGAACGUUUGAUCUCAAAUCAGGUAGGACUACCCGCUGAACUUAAGCAUAUCAAUAAGCGGAGGAAAAGAAACUAACAAGGAUUCCCCUAGUAACUGCGAGUGAAGCGGGAAGAGCUCAAAUUUAAAAUCUGGCGUGCCUCUGGCCGUCCGAGUUGUAGUCUGGAGAAGCGU
rnacentral:misc_RNA from 1 species